UGUUCUUGGGCUAGUUUAUCCUACUUAAUGUGGAUUUGGAUCUUUAAUUAGUCAUUUUUAUUUUGUCCUUUUUAUUCCAAAGACCAUUAUUUUUUGGUAGGUAGCCUUGGCACAUGCUGGGCCUUUACACUCCUGGAACUCUCAGAGGACCAUGACAUGCUUCUUGCUUCAUCCUCCCUCCAUGUUUUUUUUUUUUUUAACUCUUAGUUGGUCAGUAAAUUCUAUGUGAAUUCCUAUUGGUCUCUUCCUUUUCCUACUCACAAGAGUUGUUUCUCUUUGUCUUCAGAGUUUAUGUUUUGAGGAGUUUUCCUUGUCCUGGGCUGACUUGUACAAUGCUAGUCCACAGGGCACCCACCUGUUCUUUAUCUGGAUGCUUUAAGAUGUGCUCUCUCUAAAUCUAUGGAGCAUGCACACGUUGUCUGGCCAUCUACUCCUGUACCCUAGGUUAAGAUGAAAUAGUUACUCCCCCCUGCCCAAGUUCCUCCUUUUGGGGUGGAAUUCAAGAUUAGCAACUUCCCUAUUUGGUUUUCAGCCUUUUAAAUGAUGAAAUCAGGAGGUGUGAUGGAAGUAAUUGGCUGAGCAAAGUGUAUUAUCAGGGGGUACAAGAGAGGAGGGAGUAUCAAGAAUGGGCAAAUGUUACGACAGUAUUAGAAGUGAAUUUAGAGUUUUAGGGUAAUAUCACUUUCCUCCCCUUGACAGUUCUGGAUCACAUUCUUCCCCCCUUUUUUUAAUUGCAGAUGAUCGUGGUGGUAGCAUCUUGUCUGUUUUGCUUCUUAAGAAUGUGUGAAUGUUAUCAUCACAUCAGUCAUGUCGUCCAUUGGACAUUCUUCGGUGCAGCUUCAGGCCAGUUUUUGCUUGGCCUCCUUUUCAUCACCUUGGCACCAGAGCCAUAUCGUUCGACAAACCAAACUGUGACAGGUAAGUUCUGCAACCAAUUCUUUCACUUUUUAGGGGGGUAACAGCUCCCACGUCCAUGGAGAGCAAGAGACACUGACCCCCAUCCUGUGGUCUUAUACUUCAAAGCUGGACACAUGAGCCUUGGCUAAAAGUUCUACCUUUAUAGCUCUAGGACAAUUAAGUGGAAUCUACACUUGGGGGGGUUUAGGUCACCUCUAAUCAUAGUUUUGAAGUCACUAGGCUUUGGAUUGACUUAAGACCUGAACGCUUUUAAACAAAAGAUUUAUUCUUAGAAUCCCAGCUGUCUUAGAAUCUAGAAGCCCUAGAUUUAUACUUCUAGUUCAAAGCUAGUAAGUACUAGGGCCUAGCACUACAAUAGGACACCUCAAUGCCUUUGAGCCUUGGAAGCCACUUGCCCCCAGCAGUAAGUGAAAGACCUCAAGAGUGAGUGCUCCUCGUAUCACAUCAGUCCUUUUGUCCCUCUGUAGUUAAGUAUCCCCACUCACCAUAGAGGAUUUUCACCACCUUGAGCUCCCUGCCUCCUCUUGCAUCACUAAGCUAUCUGUAGCCAGUGCCUCCACCCCCAAUUUGUUUCUGACCUCUCCUUUGCUGUGUGUCCCACAGGGCUCACUCCUCAGCUUCCAUGGACUAGAUUACCUCUAUGCUAAUGGUUCUCCAGUCCUUUAGCCCUAACCUCCAGUCUCACAUUUCUCUGAUUGCUGGGGAGGGUACCUCAAUUCCCUCAAAAGAGAAGGGCUUCCAGCUGUUUCCAUCAGCCCUCCCACCCCAUUCUUCUGCCUUAGGGGCAAAUGCUUACUCCCCCUCCUGAGCCUAGUCUCCUGGGCACCCUUUUCUGUCUCUAGCCGCACUUUCUCUCUCAUUCCUCAGACUCACUGGUUAGAGGUGAGGAGUUUGAAUACUCCCUGGUUCCUGUUGCCAUCGUCAUUGCCCGAUCUUUCAUCCAGACCUAGGAGUUGCUGUCUGCUGCCCUCCAGAAUCCUCCCCUUCCUUCUGUGGUGUGUAGCUCCCAGUCUAUGAGACUUCAACCUCCAAUAGAUACUC
rnacentral:lncRNA from 1 species